rnacentral:misc_RNA from 1 species
UUGUCUAUGCGCGCGCGCGUGAUAUGUUCGUGCGUGCGCGCUCGUUUUGCGUGCAUUUUCCGCGUGCGUACAACAACUCGAGAAGCUGCCGUGUAUUCAUCUCAGUAAACAACCAGCUAAACCAGAAUGUCUCGUUAUGGAGGUGGUGGUGGUGGUGGUGGUAGGUCCUCAGCUGAAAGGGGCUGCAAAGUGUACAUCGGAAACCUUGGAGAAUCUGCAAGCAAAUCUGAAAUUGAAAAAGUAUUUGGUACUUUUGGACCCAUGAAGAAUGUCUGGAUUGCAAGGAAUCCUGCUGGCUUCGCAUUCGUUGAGUAUGAGGAUCCCAGAGAUGCAUCCGAUGCAGUGAAGGAUAUGGAUUCAAGAACCAUCUGUGGAGAGAGGGCUCGUGUGGAACUAGCUCGGGGUGAAUCAAGAAGACGAGGUGGUGGUGGCGGUGGAAGAGGUUUCCGAGGAGGCAACCGUGGUCCCCCAAGGGGAGAUAGCAAGUGCUAUAACUGUGGGGAUCAUGGACAUUUUGCCAGAGAGUGUCCCGGUGGAGGAGGAGGAGGAGGAGGGGGGGUGGGAGGCGCAGCUUCGGAGGCAGUGGUGGUGGACGGCGAAGGAGCUACUCCAGGACUCUCCUUUUAACGGCUUCACAGCCAAGUAACGCCUUGAGCCUUGUAAUGCCCUUCAGGAAUCCACCAUAAUGCACUUCCAUUCUAUACCCUUGAGCAGCUAGUUGACGGCAUGUGAUCUUUUCAUGAUAAGGACCUGUUCGGCAGAGGGUAGAAAGAAGUCUUGCGCUUCUAGAACCCUCUUCUUCACAUUGCACCUUUACGCCAAAUCUGCACUUCUGGUUCAUUAAGUAAAAUCAGAAAAAGCUUCAAAAUAGCGACGAAAAAGGGGCUUCAAAAUUGGCAAGUCACCACCACCUUCUUGCAAAGGCUUACUUCGAUUCAGGUUACGCCGAUAUGCACUCAUUUGCAACGUUUGCGACUUGUGACUUCAGUUAGUCAGAGACUGCGGCCUUCAAAUUCAUAUUGGCUUCAGGGUUAAGCUAGUUUCGUCAGUUCUGCACUUGGUAAAAAGAUCACGUAUACGUCGGGCUUCCUCAAUCCAAUGCGCGUCCUACUGCCUUGUCCUGCGUUAGUCCUUCGCUAGGCCUUCGCUGCUGACAAAAAGGGAACCUUAAGCUCCCUUUUUGUCCAAUUUCUUCACCCUUCUGUUUCUACAGGCAAAAGAGAUCUCGAUCCCGAUCUCGCUCACCUUUCCAAAGACGAGGUGGAUACAGUCGUAGCAGAAGUCACAGUCGUUAAGUGAUGCAGGCGUAGUCCAUGGUCAACAUGCUGUGCUUUGAAUGUAAUGUAUUGAAAUUAUCAAGUGGAGAAUAAAACUAGCCCUGCUCUUAUUAGCGGGUUCUUUGGAAGCAUUCUUCAAACGCACCAAUUACCAGCAUAAUCCUUCUCGUGGAGUAAGAGGUUGAUCUGUACAUUAUAUCAUAUUGCCAAUGUUUGUCUGAUCUUGUCAGUCAUGGCACAAUAUUCUGGUUGUUUACUUCAGUUGCUGUACGACUCUUUGUGUAAGUUGGAGAGAGCCUUCUCUAUGUACUUUUACCAGUAGUCAUUUAUUUGUGUAUCAGCGUAAUCUUUUUUUAUACCUUUCCUGUAAGUUAUUUUAUGCCACCAUCCUACACCUUUAAAUUAUGGAGCCUUUUGAACAGUGAAAAUAGAUUGAUUUCGAUUUCAAAUCAUGUCAUCAUUUUCCUCACACAUUGCUAAAUAUCGAAGGAAAUUAACAAGUUGUGCAUUCUAUUUGGAAUUCUUAGCAUGUGAACUAUGUUGAUACCUCGUCAGUAGCAUAUCAUUAAAGGGAAUGUAUAUUGUAAAGGAUGUGUGAUUCGUAUAAUUUUAGUGUCCUAAUAAGUAUUUCCUUAAUAAUCUUUGGUAUUGGGGAAGUCUUUAAUCUAUUAUAUAAAUAAGUUAAAUAGAUGCAGAAUGACAUUCAUAACUGAUGUAAAAAACCUUUCGAUUUUCUUUAUUGCUUUUGUUUUCUUUUUAUAAUUUGAGUAAAUAAAUAUUUAUGGAUUAAAAAUCGAUAGUGUAUAGCUUUCCACUAAUGAAAGGGGCCUUUAAAUUGAGUCCACUGUAGAUGUAAAUUUGGACUCUCAUAUUGUGUAUUGAUUAAAAAAAAUCUGCUCCAUUCAGCUCUAUUCAUUGUGAUCAAUUUAUCAUCAUGGGCUAAUCUUGUUCAUGCAAUAUUAACUUUUUUAAUAGAGAGCAUCAAGAUGCAAUGUAUUAAACAAUUUCUUAACCCGUUGACAAAUGUAACCAGGUUUUUACCUGUACAAAGUCUAUGGGAAUGACGUAAUUCAGUAUUCAACAAGUUAAUACUGCAUGAACAAGAUAUAUUAUACUGUUUUUAAUGGAUAUAUUGGUAUGGCAAGAAUUGGAAACAUCAGCAUUCUUGAAAGAAAUUCAUUUACUUUUAAGGACACAAAUUGCGGUAAGUCAAGUCAUGUAUUAUCAUAUAUUUCUUAGCUCUGACUACAUAAUUUUUGAAAGGAACUUUUUCAACAGAUAGAUAGCUUGAAGAUAUACUGUUUUUAAAGGAGUGUUUUGGUAUGGGGGGGGGGGGGUAUGGAAGAAUAUGAAAACAUAGCAUUCUUGAAAGAAGUUCAUUUACUUUUAUUGACACCAACUGUAGCUAGUCAAGUCUUGUAUUUUCUUAUAUUUCUUGGUUUUGACUACAGAAGUUCUUUUUUUUAUUGUAAAGGGUGUUUUAAAGGUGAUGACUGUUAGAUAUUGUAUCAAAUUACCAUUUUAUUGUAAGUUUUGUCAUAUGAAGACCAAUAAAUAAGAUAUCACUAUCACA